CGGCCCCUCCUAAAGUCCUAAUGGCCUCACAACUAUGAAGAACAAUACACAUUACUCUUAUAUUAUUUUGUAUUUGACAUAUUAAAAUAUGUAAAUAAAGCAAACGUUCUACAGGUGAAAAACGGCAGGCACGUGGUAUAAAGAAGCCGCCACAGAGCAGUGAAAUGGCCUUUGCUGUUCCCGUUGGGCUAUUCUGGUACCUGCAGAAGAUCGGGUUUCCGAAACCCCGGACUACGCCAGCUUCUGCAAGGUGAGACCAGGGUUGUGACGCCACAUUCAUUUCCUGUUGGCACUUCCUGUUGCCAUCUUGACGGCCAUGUUGAUA